rnacentral:rRNA from 1 species
UACGUAGGGGCUAGCGUUAUCCGGAUUUACUGGGCGUAAAGGGUGCGUAGGUGGUUUCUUAAGUCAGGAGUGAAAGGCUACGGCUUAACCGUAGUAAGCUCUUGAAACUGGGAAACUUGAGUGCAGGAGAGGAAAGUGGAAUUCCUAGUGUAGCGGUGAAAUGCGUAGAUAUUAGGAGGAACACCAGUAGCGAAGGCGGCUUUCCGGACUGUAACUGACACUGAGGCACGAAAGCGUGGGGAGCAAACAGGAUUAGAUACCCUGGUAGUCCCUGAGCGGGCUGG